ensembl:lncRNA
AUGUUGGCCUGUGAGAGUGACAGCAUGGAGACUGUAGAGCUGUUAUUGAAAGGCGGAGCUAACCCACAUCUUACCGAUGCUCUGGGGCAUAACUCCUCCCACUACAGCAUCACCGCCGGCAACCCCAACAUUACCCAGCUUCUGCAGAACGUAGGCGUUUCCACAGCCGCUGAGGGUUCGAGUGAGGAGGUAAUUGUCAAAAGAAACGGCCUCUCCCAACACUUUAUCACAUGCAUACAAAUAACUAAACCACAGAAAAUCCUCAAGGAUGGUCAGGGAUGGAUUAUGCUGCUAUAAAAUACCAAUGUUUCACAAAUAUAAUCGAUUUUAUUACUCAUCUGAGAGUAGCUUAACUGCGGUAUCCAGACAGCUUGAUUUAAAGGUGAAGUGUGUGAUGUUUGCACCCCUAGUGGCAACAUGUAGGAUUACAAAAAUAAUUUGGCAAAAUAGUCAUUUUAAUAGUAAUUCCAUGCAAUUGUGAAUUUUGCAAAAGGGCAAAUAAUUUUCAAAUUCUAAAAAUUUGUUGUUUUGACCAAGAGAAAGCUGUUUGGUUUGAGAGUGAUUUCUGUGUGAGUGGUCCUUUAUGUGUCGCUACACUAUUAAUGAUAAACAAUGGAGCUUUUUGCAUGCAAAAAUUUUGUUUGAAUUUCGCGAAUGUGACCACAUCUUUACAUAUAGUUGUUGUAAAAGAAAAAAGUAUUUAAACAUAGAAAAAAAUGGCACACUUUCUCUUUAACAUCACAUAAGUAUGCACUUCACUAUUAAGAAGUUGAAUCAGUAGUUUGAAGACAGAAGCGCAUGUUACAAAUCUAACUAACACUGCUGCUGCUGCUGCUGCUGCUUUGCUUUAACUUGUCCAUCCUAAACUCCGCCCACACCAGCAGGCUCCUCCUCCUCCCAAUCCCCCAUCUAGUGGAACCACACCCCGCAAAAGGAAAGCCCCUCCUCCUCCUAAAUCUCCUGCUCAGGUACAAUGGGAUUCAUGAAUCCCAUGAAACUCUAUAAAAAGGAAAGCAUUAAUAAAAAAAUUCUUAACCCAAAAUUGAAAAUUCUGUCAUCAUUUACUCAUCCUCAUGUUGCUCCAAAACGAGGUCUUUUUUUUUUCUGUGGAACACAAAAUGUUUUAAUAAAUGAUAACACUGCUCUGUUUCAACAUUGAAAAGGUUUUCAAGCUUGCAAAAGGACAAAUAAACACCAUAAAAGUAUGACAGAUUUUUCAUUUUGCACGAACUAUUCCUUUAAAUGCAUGGAUCUGGGUCUUAUUCAGUAAUAAUUGUGUGGAUUGUUCAUAUUUACGCACACUUGAGAAUGUCUUUAAAAAUUUUGAAGUGAUUCACAACGCAGAGGAAUCUGUUCUUAAUCUCGUUCUAAUGUUAAUGAAUUUGGAAUAUUCUAAAUAAAACACACCCAAACCAUUUCCAUAUAAGGGCUUUUGUGAAAAUUUGAAAGCAUUUGAUGAAUCAUGAUUUGUUUGUGCAAAUGUUCGUAUGAAGUUUUCACAUACAGAUUAGUGCAUACAUAGGGCCCUAUGAAAUUUUUUAAUUUUUUUCCCAAAUUCUGUUUAAUUUUUUCCAAAAAAAUUUCCAUUACAAGCUAUUUUGAUUUAUUCAUCUGAAAUUUGCAAAAUUCCAUGAAAUUCCAUGUUAUAUUGUAAAUUCCAUUUUUAAGACUGAAUUCCAUGAUUCCUUUCGUGUUUUCAACAUCACAGAAGUCAUAGGGCCCUAGAAUCAUACACAUGGUUUUUGAAUGACAUCCAUUGUUUUAGUUAAAUAUGCAUGGCU